CCUACGGGCGGCUGCAGUGGGGAAUAUUGCACAAUGGGGGAAACCCUGAUGCAGCGACGCCGCGUGAGUGAAGAAGUAUUUCGGUACGUAAAGCUCUAUCAGCAGGGAAGAAAAUGACGGUACCUGACUAAGAAGCCCCGGCUAACUACGUGCCAGCAGCCGCGGUAAUACGUAGGGGGCAAGCGUUAUCCGGAUUUACUGGAUGUAAAGGGAGCGUAGACGGCAGCGCAAGUCUGGAGUGAAAUCCCAUGGCUUAACCAUGGAACUGCUUUGGAAACUGUGCAGCUAGAGUGCAGGAGAGGUAAGCGGAAUUCCUAGUGGAGCGGUGAAAUGCGUAGAUAUUAGGAGGAACACCAGUGGCGAAGGCGGCUUACUGGACUGUAACUGACGUUGAGGCUCGAAAGCGUGGGGAGCAAACAGGAUUAGAUACCCCGGUAGUC
rnacentral:rRNA from 1 species